rnacentral:lncRNA from 1 species
CAUGUUCAGCCAGCAGCAGCAGCAGCAGCUCCAGCAACAGCAGCAGCAGCUCCAGCAGUUACAGCAGCAGCAGCUCCAGCAGCAGCAAUUGCAGCAGCAGCAGUUACUGCAGCUCCAGCAGCUGCUCCAGCAGUCCCCACCACAGGCCCCGUUGCCCAUGGCUGUCAGCCGGUAACCUCCGAGGCUAUGGCAUGGCAUCCCCAGGCCUCGCAGCCCCCAGCCUCACACCCCCACAACUGGCCACUCCAAAUUUGCAACAGUUCUUUCCCCAGGCCACUCGCCAGUCCUUGCUGGGACCUCCUCCUGUUGGGGUCCCCAUGAACCCUUCCCAGUUCAACCUUUCAGGACGGAACCCCCAGAAACAGGCCCGGACCUCCUCCUCUACCACCCCCAAUCGAAAGGAUUCUUCUUCUCAGACAAUGCCUGUGGAAGACAAGUCAGACCCCCCAGAGGGGUCUGAGGAAGCCGCAGAGCCCCGGAUGGACACACCAGAAGACCAAGAUUUACCGCCCUGCCCAGAGGACAUCGCCAAGGAAAAACGCACUCCAGCACCUGAGCCUGAGCCUUGUGAGGCGUCCGAGCUGCCAGCAAAGAGAUUGAGGAGCUCAGAAGAGCCCACAGAGAAGGAACCUCCAGGGCAGU